ACUCCUACGGGAGGCAGCAGUGGGGAAUCUUCCGCAAUGGCCGAAAGUCUGACGGAGCAACGCCGCGUGUAUGAUGAAGGUCUUCGGAUUGUAAAGUACUGUCUUUGGGGAAGAACGAAGUACUGAUAAAAUGAGUACAAAUG
rnacentral:rRNA from 1 species